rnacentral:rRNA from 1 species
CCUACGGGAGGCAGCAGUGGGGAAUAUUGCACAAUGGGGGAAACCCUGAUGCAGCGACGCCGCGUGAGUGAAGAAGGAUUUCGGUAUGUAAAGCUCUAUCAGCAGGGAAGAAAAUGACGGUACCUGACUAAGAAGCCCCGGCUAACUACGUGCCAGCAGCCGCGGUAAUACGUAGGGGGCAAGCGUUAUCCGGAUUUACUGGGGGGAAAGGGAGCGUAGACGGUUAUGCAAGUCUGAAGUGAAAGCCCACGGCUCAACCAUGGGACUGCUUUGGAAACUGUAAAACUGGCGUGCAGGAGAGGUCAGCGCACUUCCUAGUGUAGCGGUGACUUGCUUAGAUAUUAGGAGGAACACCAGUGGCGAAGGCGGCUUACUGGACUGUCACUGACGUUGCGGCUCGAAUGCGUGGGGAGCAAACAGGAUUAGAUACCCGUGUAGUC